GGUCUCAUCCUUAAAUUCGUUACAUAUUUUGCUAGGUAAAUAAAGUUCUGUAAACAUGCAGAAUCACUGUUUGUUAGAUUUGUUCCGUUUUACAAAACCUUUUUGAGCAAACUCAACUGUGGGUGAAAGCCCUCUUCAGUUCCUUCAUUUUGGCGUUGGUUUCACUUCAAAUGACCUCCUGAAAUUGAAAUGGUUCACAGAUCAAGAUCUGGUCAGAUCUGACUUUGUCGAAUUAAACCAGGAGAUUGGAAACAAAUUUUCGGAUGAAACAAGUUGGGGGGUACUUAGCUUGUGCCAUGGUGAUACCGAGAGAGGCAAUUGCUAAGUUGUGAUACUCUCAUACCUUUACUAGAUGCGAACAAUUCCGGAGAAGAAGAAGAAGUGGAAUCGGACGAGGAUUUUAUUUAUGAUUGUUGGCAUUCUUAUAUUGAUGGAGUUGAAGAAGUCCAGGGACAAAUAAGCCAAGGCAAGCCAUCUUUUGAUCUCUGACUUGGUGUCUAGUUGGAUGUCAUUUGUUGAUGUCCAAAGCACCUUAAUUCUAUGUGUGUUAUUCUCUCUAUUUAUGUCAUCUAUGUGUGAUUGCAAGUGGGGUACUCCCUAGUGGUGAUACUCCACUAUUGUCCUUGUGUUAUGGGAUGCAUGAUAUUA